UACAGAGGUCUCAAGCGUUGUUCGGAUUCAUUGGGCGUAAAGGGGGUGUAGGUGGCGCCGUAAGUCGGGUGUGAAAUUUCGGAGCUUAACUCCGAAACUGCAUUCGAUACUGCGGUGCUUGAGGACUGGAGAGGAGACUGGAAUUCAUGGUGUAGCAGUGAAAUGCGUAGAGAUCAUGAGGAAGACCAGUGGCGAAGGCGGGUCUCUGGACAGUUCCUGACACUGAGGCACGAAGGCCAGGGGAGCAAACAGG
rnacentral:rRNA from 1 species